ACGGCUCAGUAACACGUAGGUAACCUACCCUUCGGACGGGCACAACCCCGGGAAACUGGGGCUAAUUCCCGAUAGGUACCCCCUUCUGGAAUGUGGGGAUAUCCAAAGCUCCGGCGCCGAAGGAUGGGCCUGCGGCCGAUUAGGUUGUUGGCGGGGUAACAGCCCACCAAGCCGACGAUCGGUACGGGCAGUGAGAGCUGUAGCCCGGGGAUGGGGACUGAGACAAGGCCCCAGGCCCUACGGGGCGCAGCAGGCGCGAAACCUUCACAAUGCACGAAAGUGUGAUGAGGGUACUCCGAGUGCGCAUACAUUGUAUGUGCUUUUCUGCAGCGUAAAUAGUUGCAGGAAUAAGGGCUGGGCAAGACCGGUGCCAGCCGCCGCGGUAACACCGGCAGCCCUAGUGGUGGCCGCUUUUAUUGGGCCUAAAGCGUCCGUAGCCGGACAGGCGAGUCUUUGGGUAAAUCCUACGUCUUAAGCGUGGGAAUUCUAAAGAUACUACCUGUCUUGAGGCCGGGAGAGGCUGGAGGUACUCCUGGGGUAGGGGUAAAAUCCUAUAAUCCUGGGGGGACCACCGAUGGCGAAGGCAUCCAGCUGGAACGGGCCUGACGGUGAGGGACGAAACCCAGGGGAGCGAGCCGGAUUAGAUACCCGGGUAGUCCUGGGCGUAAAAUGAUGUGGGCUUGGUGUGAGCGCAUCGACGAGGUGCGCUUGUGCCGUAGGGAAGCCGUUAAGCCCACCGCCUGGGGAGUACGGUCGCAAGGCUGAAACUUAAAGGAAUUGGCGGGGGGAG
rnacentral:rRNA from 1 species